CUCCAUUUGGGAGCUGAACAGAACCCGUUCGUAUGAGCUCUUCCGAACAGGGAGCUGGUUAAAUACACCAAUACAACACAAUGACAUAUGGAUACACAGGGGAGCACAAAAUACAAGCCAAAACAUGUGAAUAUUAAGUGGGAAUGGCACUUAGUGGCGGUGGCCCGCUAUAUGCUGCUUCUAUAUAAAUAAUUAAAAAAAAAUUAAAUCGUUAAUGAUACAGUCAAUGUAUGUCACAGAGUCAUGUUUCUUGC